AUUGAACGCUGGCGGCAGGCCUAACACAUGCAAGUCGAGCGAGCGGCGGACGGGUGAGUAAUGUAUGGGGACUGCCCGAUAGAGGUGGAUAACUACUGGAAACGGUGGUUAAUACCGCAUAUUGUCGGAUAACCCAUAUGGGAUUGGAUAGUAGGUAAGGUAAUGGCUUACCUAGGCAACGAUCCCGAGCUGGUCUGCGAGGGUGAUCAGCCACACUGGGACUGAGACACGGCCCAGCCUCCGACGGAGGCAGCAGUGGGGAAUAGGGCCCAAUGGGCGCAAGCCUGAUGCAGCCAUGCCGCGUGUAUGAAGGAGGCCCUAGGGUUGUAAAGUACUUUCAGUCGGGAGGCGUUACCGACAGAAGAAGCACCGGCUAACUCCGUGCCAGCAGCCGCGGUAAUUC
rnacentral:rRNA from 1 species